GCCAACUGAGUGUGUAUCGCGUGAACGCAUUAUGCGUAUAACAACAUACCUGUUAUGUCUAGGGUGUAAGAACCGUAGUCGUAUACUUGGCGGUGAAAAUGUAUGCAGGAGAGAUAAAGAAGUGCGACGAAAA